rnacentral:piRNA from 1 species
UUGUUUAUUGCUCUGGUUGUU